GUUCCUUUAAUGGCCUCUGGAACUUCUCUGUCUCAGUUUUCUAUUGCUGUGAUAAAGACCAUGACCAAAAGCAAUGUGGGGAGGAAAGGGUUCAUCUUACAGCUCUCAGGUCACAAUCCAUCACCGAGGGAAGUCAGGAAGGAACAGAAGCAGAAGCCAUGGAAGAAUGCUGCUUACUGGCUUGUUCCUCCUGGCUUAUUCUGUCUGUGUUGUUAAACACCCCAGGACCAUCUCACUAGGGAUGGUUUUGCCCACAGUAGACUGGGCCCUCUCAUCGUAGUCAUCAUUCAAGACAAACCCCCACAGACUUGGUGGUCUGAUGAAGGCAAUCCAUCAGUUGAAAUUCCUUCCUUCUGAAUGACCCUGGUUUAUGUCAAGUUGACAAAAA
rnacentral:lncRNA from 1 species